GUUCUUGCUUCGGCAGCACAUGUACUAAAAUUGGAACGAUACAGAGAAGAUGAGCACAGCCCCUGUGCAAGGAUGACAUGCAAAUUUGUGAAGCAUUCUGUAUUUUU